rnacentral:rRNA from 1 species
CGGCGUGCUUAACACAUGCAAGUCGAACGAGAAGAGAUGAGAAGCUUGCUUCUUAUUAAUUCGAGUGGCAAACGGGUGAGUAACGCGUAAGCAACCUGCCCUUCAGAUGGGGACGAACAACUGGAAACGGCUGCUAAUACCGAAUACGUUCUUUUUGUUCGCAUGGCAGAGAGAAGAAAGGGAGGCUCUUCGGAGCUUUCGCUGAAGGAGGGGCUUGCGUCUGAUUAGCUAGUUGGUGGGGUAACGGCCUACCAAGGCGAUGAUCAGUAGCCGGUCUGAGAGGAUGAACGGCCACAUUGGGACUGAGACACGGCCCAGACUCCUACGGGAGGCAGCAGUGGGGAAUCUUCCGCAAUGGACGAAAGUCUGACGGAGCAACGCCGCGUGAACGAUGACGGCCUUCGGGUUGUAAAGUUCUGUUAUACGGGACGAAUGGUGCGACGGUCAAUACCCGCCGUAAGUGACGGUACCGUAAGAGAAAGCCACGGCUAACUACGUG